UACGUAGGGGGCAAGCGUUGUCCGGAUUUAUUGGGCGUAAAGAGCGUGUAGGCGGUUUGGUAGGUCCGUUGUGAAAACUCGAGGCUCAACCUCGAGACGCCGAUGGAAACCAUCUGACUAGAGUCCGGAAGAGGAGAGUGGAAUUCCUGGUGUAGCGGUGGAAUGCGCAGAUAUCAGGAGGAACACCGGUGGCGAAGGCGGGUCUCUGGGCAGUAACUGACGCUGAGGAGCGAAAGCGUGGGGAGCGAACAGG
rnacentral:rRNA from 1 species